AAAUCCUAUAGCUUAACUAUAGAACUGCUUCCAAAACUGUUUACCUAGAGUAUGGGAGAGGUAGAUGGAAUUUCUGGUGUAGGGGUAAAAUCCGUAGAGAUCAGAAGGAAUACCGAUUGCGAAGGCGAUCUACUAGAACAUUACUGACGCUCAGAUGCGAAAGCGUGGGGAGCAAACAGGAUUAGAUACCCUGGUAGUCCACGCCCUAAACGAUGUACACUAGUUGUUGCUAUACUAGAUAUGGCAGUAAUGCAGUUAACACUUUAAGUGUACCGCCUGGGGAGUACGGUCGCAAGAUUAAAACUCAAAGGAAUAGACGGGGACCCGCACAAGCGGUGGAGCAUGUGGUUUAAUUCGACGAUACGCGAAAAACCUUACCUGGCCUUGACAUAGUAGGAACUUUCUAGAGAUAGAUUGGUGCUAGCUUGCUAGAACCUAUAUACAGGUGCUGCACGGCUGUCGUCAGCUCGUGUCGUGAGAUGUUGGGUUAAGUCCCGCAACGAGCGCAACCCACGUGAUUAGUUGCUAACGGUUCGGCCGAGAACUCUAAUCAGACUGCCUUCGUAAGGAGGAGGAAGGUGUGGACGACGUCAAGUCAUCAUGGCCCUUACGGCCAGGGCUACACACGUGCUACAAUGGGAUAUACAAAGAGCCGCAAUACCGCGAGGUGGAGCAAAUCUAGAAAAUAUCUCCCAGUUCGGAUUGUUCUCUGCAACUCGAGAACAUGAAGUUGGAAUCGCUAGUAAUCGUGGAUCAGCAUUGCCACGGUGAAUACGUUCCCGGGUC
rnacentral:rRNA from 1 species